rnacentral:rRNA from 1 species
UACAGAGGUCUCAACCGUUGUUCGGAUUCAUUGGGCGUAAAGGGUGCGUAGGCGGUCGCGCAAGUCGGAUGUGAAAUCUCAGGGCUCAACCCUGAAACUGCAUUCGAUACUGCGUGGCUAGAGUGCUGUAGGGGAGACUGGAAUUUACGGUGUAGCAGUGAAAUGCGUAGAUAUCGUAAGGAAGACCAGUGGCGAAGGCGAGUCUCUGGACAGCAACUGACGCUGAGGCACGAAGGCCAGGGGAGCAAACGGG